CACGUAGGGGGCGAGCGUUGUCCGGAUUUAUCGGGCGUAAAGAGCUCGUAGGCGGUUCGGCAAGUCGGGUGUGAAAUUUCGAGGCUCAACCUCGAAACGCCACUCGAUACUGCUGUGACUGGAGUCCGGUAGAGGAGUGCGGAAUUCCUGGUGUAGCGGUGAAAUGCGCAGAUAUCAGGAGGAACACCAACGGCGAAGGCAGCACUCUGGGCCGGUACUGACGCUGAGGAGCGACAGCGUGGGGAGCAAACAGG
rnacentral:rRNA from 1 species